rnacentral:rRNA from 1 species
UACGUAGGUGGCAAGCGUUGUCCGGAUUUACUGGGCGUAAAGAGCGCGCAGGCGGUCGAGUAAGUCGAAUGUGAAAGCCCCCGGCUUAACUGGGGAGGGUCAUUCGAUACUGUUCGACUUGAAGGCAGGAGAGGGCAGCAGAAUUCCCGGUGUAGUGGUGAAAUGCGUAGAUAUGCGGAGGAACACCGAUGGCGAAGGCAAUCCCCUGGGCCUGCACUGACGCUCAUGCACGAAAGCGUGGGGAGCAAACAGG